UGUUAAGAAUUUCAUCAAUUUCUACGGUUAAAAACCGGCAUGGCUGACGGAAUAAUCAAACAAUUACACCUAGCAUGCCAUGUAUAACUCAUGUUGAUAUAGAAGGACCAGCUUUUAACAGUAGAAAUGGAUGAAAUUUUUAACA
rfam:Gossypium raimondii Chr04_contig_54, whole genome shotgun sequence.